GCGUGCGUAGUUCAACUGGAUAGAAUAUCAGAUUUCGGCUCUGAGGGUUGAGGGUUCGAAUCCUUCCGCGCGCA
rnacentral:tRNA from 4 species